AAAAGUAUUAGCUUGGAUCUGUCUAUAUGACUGGUUUGACUUGGCAUAAUAAGUAUUUUGCUGAGGACAUCUUCGGAUGGCCAGGACCUAGACUACUGUCUGCUAACUAAACCAUCACUUUAAGUGCAUCUUUGGAUGUUACUCAUUGUGUAACUUUGACAUCUGGCCUCAAAUCAAGUAGGACUACCCGCUGAACUUAA
rnacentral:misc_RNA from 1 species